UUGUAACGGGAAUCCAGCAGGCUGGCCACCCAGUAAUCAGCACAAGUUAGAAUGUGGGCAACUCGUCAGUCGUUGCGCGGGCACUUUGGUUACUCUAGAUAACCUCGGGGCGAUCGCACGUCCCCGUGACGGCGACGACGCAUUCGGAUGUUUGCCCUAUCAACUUUCGAUGGUACUUUCUGCGCCUGCCAUGGUGACCAGGGGUAACGGGGAAUCAGGGUUCGAUUCCAAAGAGGGAGCCUCAGAAACGGCUACCACAUCCAAGGAAGGCAGCAGGGGUGCAAAUUACCCACUCUCGACACGGGAAGGUUGUGAUGAUAA